UGUCUGCUAUUUCAUUCAUACUCUCUUGUUGCACUCACAUUCUUUACUCACACUAACCGUCGUUCCAAUCGUUCUUUACUCACGCACGCUAACACUCUCGUUCCAAUCGUUCUUUACUCACGCAUGCUAACACUCUCGUUCCAAUGACAGUCUUCACUCUGUCGCUACAAACCCUAACUCUCUCGGGGUUUUCUCCGCCGGAAUCGCCUCCAUUCCGGUCCGGCUCAGCCACGCCGAUUCCCAUUUGCUCUCUUGACGGCUCCAUGGAACCUGUUGGAGAAGAGUUAAGUCUCGUAUCGGAGUUCUUGAAGGGAAGAUGAUUCGCUAAAUUCCAUUUAGAUUCCUUCAAUCAAUGUGAACGUGGAUUUGAAGAAGAUUGUAGAUGAUAAUGGAUUUAUCAAGUUAUCUAAGGAUGAGCGAUUCUUUUUGAGGGCAGAUGAUUCGCUAAAUUCCAUUUAGAUUCCUUCAGUCAAUCUGUGAACGUGGAUUUGAAGAAGAAUGUAGAUGAUAAUGGAUUUAUCAAGUUAUCUAAGGACGAGCGAUUCUUUUUGAGGUACACAGCUCCAAUCUUUGCUGAUAUCGAAUACUCUAAAGGAAUAAAAAAUGAAAUAUUGACAUUAAACCAGAAUCAAGUUGAAAUUGGAAGAAUGCCUAUUAUGUUGCGGAGUUGCUGUUGUGUCUUGUAUGAGAAACAAGAAGCUGAGCUUGCAAAACUUGGUGAGUGUCCUCUUGAUCCUGGAGGAUAUUUUAUUGUUGAAGGGGAAGAGACGGUUUUCUUAAUACAAAGAAGAGAAUUUUGACAAAGGGAUCACUGUAUCCUCAAAUGGAGAAGGAAAGUAAGCAAUUCUUUGUAUUACUGCGUCUGUUACAAGCAGCAGCACGAAGAUGAUGAAAACAAAAACUAUUAUCACAAUGCAUGAUAAGAAGUUGUGGAUACAGUUGGAUCAAUUAACUAAGAUUCCUCUUAUGGUUGUAAUGAAAGCUAUGUUAAAGUUAUGCAAAUGAUUCCGAGAUCCUUGUUAUGCUUCACUACUUGAGCCAUCCAAUGAGGUAAGGAUUUGGAUUUGGAUCUGCAUAGUUUCUUUAUAAUGGAGACAUAAUCACUCAUGGUCUUGACUGGAGUGGACUCUCAAGACUAGAAAUUUUAAGGUUAAAAGGUUCAAGAUGGAAAGGAAAGGAGUAACACAGAUGCCACAAAGAUCAUCGAAUGUGAGUGCUUUGGCCCACAUGACUAAAGUUUUUAAACAGUCUGAUAAGUCCAAAAACGUAAGUGGUGCUAAAGCUAUGCAAUAUAGCCAGUUAAUAUGCGUUCCGGUUGGGAACUUUCUUGAUAUAUCACUUUUAAUGGCAUUGUUUGAUCCUUGUAGCUGACGUAAAAUGGUUUGUUGUUAUUGUUGUUUUUGUAUUCUUAUGAUGCUUCAACCUCAUUUUGUAUUCUUCUUUAUUAUAGUUUGACAUGCUUUGUCCAUGUGAUAUUCGGGUGAAAGCAUAUGGAAUAGUAAGGAGUCUGGCUUUGAUGACUCAUGUCACUACUGAUGUAGAGAAAGACUUCUCAAUUAGCUACUGCUGUUUUUAUUGACUGUUUUUCUAAUCAUAUGUGUUUGGGUGUUUAAAUAUAAGAAAGGAUGUUUUGACACAAUUUUGCUAAGGCGCAUAAUGGAUGCUUAUCAGAAUAAGGAUGCAUUGGAUGACAAGUUUGGCAUGCUUGUCCAUGUGAUAUUCGGGUGAAAGCAUGUGGAGUAGUAAGGAGUCUCGCUUUGAUGACUCAUGUCACUACUGAUAAAGAGAAAGAUUGUUCAAUUGGUGUGGUAGGUUUUGGGUGAUAUCGUGAAAUCUUCCUUUGUGGUUUGUUAUUAUUAUUACCUUUUUGCUUUAGCUACUGCAGUUUUUAAUGACUGUUCGUCUAAUCAUAUGUGUUUGUGUGUUUAAAUAUGAGAAAUGAUGUUUUGACACAAUUUCGCUGAGGCGCAUAAUGGAUGCUUAUCAGAAUAAGGAUGCAUUGGAUGACAAGUUUGGCAUGCUUUGUCCAUGUGAUAUUCGGGUGAAAGCAUGUGGAGUAGUAAGGAGCCUGGCUUUGAUGACUCAUGUCACUACUGAUAUAGAGAAAGACUGUUCAUUUGGUGUGAUAUGUUUUGGAUAAUAUCGUGAAAUCUUCCUUUAUGGUUUGUUAUUAUUAUUACCUUUGUGCUUUAGCUACUGCAGUUUUUAAUGAUUGUUCAUCUAAUCAUAUAUGUUUGUGGGUUUAAAUAUGA